rnacentral:sRNA from 1 species
UCAUGCUCUUUUCGGUGAAGACGGUAGAAUGGAACGUGGAACCUUCCUUGA